AUGUCGAGAUCAUCUUGGCUCAAUGGCCUCCGACCUAAAGAUAUCGCUCCUAAAAUCUUCGAAAUAUCCAAAAAGAAGGCCUGUUUGGUUGGUAAGGCUCUUGACAACAAUUCCUGGGUCCGGCAAAUUGACAUUACACAGGGUCUCACUGUGGCACAUAUCCAGGAGUUUGCGGUCUUAUGGGAGUUGGUUACUGAAGUUGCUCUCAAUCCGGAUAGAAAGGACACCAUUUCCUGGAAAUUCACUUCCAGUGGUGAAUAUUCGACGGCUACAGCGUACAUGGCACAAUUCGAGGGCCUAGUUCUCAGCCCAACUGCUCCCACAAUAUGGAAGAGUUGGGCUCCCCCAAAAUGCAAGGUCUUCACUUGGCUUAUCACCCAAAACCGUGUGUGGACGGCGGAUCGAUUACAACGGAGAGGAUGGCCAAACUGUGGGCUUUGUCCCCUAUGCAAACAAGUCCAAGAGUCCGCCUCCCAUCUACUCUUCCAGUGUAGGUUCACUACCCGUAUCUGGCACGCGGUGGUCGCCUGGCUCGGCAUGCAGGACCACUCGCCACUGAUUUGGCGCCAUGAAGGCACGGUUCAAGAUUGGUGGCUUAAAACGAUAAACUUUGGAGGGCACAUCAAGAAAGCCACUGCCUCUGUUCUGAUGCUUGUAAUGUGGGAAGUGUGGAAGGAGCGGAACGCAAGAGUCUUUCGCAACACGGCUUCACCGACAACCAUUAUUGUUGCCAAGAUCAAAGAGGAGGCCCAUCUUUGGGCGUUGGCGGGAGCCAACCACCUGAGUGAGCUUAUGUCGCGAGAGUAA
rnacentral:rRNA from 1 species